CCUACGGGAUGCAGCAGUGGGGAAUAUUGGACAAUGGGCGAAAGCCUGAUCCAGCCAUGCCGCGUGUGUGAAGAAGGCCUUCGGGUUGUAAAGCACUUUCAGUGGGGAAGAAAGCCUUGGGGCUAAUACCCUCGAGGAAGGACAUCACCCACAGAAGAAGCACCGGCUAACUCCGUGCCAGCAGCCGCGGUAAUACGGAGGGUGCGAGCGUUAAUCGGAAUUACUGGGCGUAAAGCGCGCGUAGGCGGUCUGAUAAGCCGGUUGUGAAAGCCCCGGGCUCAACCUGGGAACGGCAUCCGGAACUGUCAGGCUAGAGUGCAGGAGAGGAAGGUAGAAUUCCCGGUGUAGCGGUGAAAUGCGUAGAGAUCGGGAGGAAUACCAGUGGCGAAGGCGGCCUUCUGGACUGACACUGACGCUGAGGUGCGAAAGCGUGGGUAGCAAACAGGAUUAGAUACCCCGGUAGUC
rnacentral:rRNA from 1 species